ensembl:lncRNA
GCCGGAGCGGGAGGGGCGGAGAGGGGAGAGCUGGGCGCGCACGGGGCCGCACCUCAGUGAUAAACCGUGUGUGCGUUGCCGAGGGAGGUGUCUGAAGCGCUAUGGGAAGCACAAGCAGGACAGAAAUUCCAGGAGGGGAGGCGGUGUGAACGCAGUUUUGAAGACAUUGAUCCCUUCCUAGGAUGGAAGAGGAAGGAAAGUAGGCACGUGCUUUGGGUACCAAUGUAAGUAAUCAGAAGCAGGAAUAACAGGGAUGCUGUUCAGUGUUUAUUGCUUUCUUUUUUUCCAGAAUUCCAGGAAGAAUUCUUUUAGAAAAGAACGUUGUUCUGUUACAGAUACCACAGAUGCUAAUUUCUCCUGUUCCAUCAACCGUUUAAAUGCUGUAAUCGAUCCUGAACUUAACGUUUUGCAGUACACUCUACCAACAUACCAUGAACUCAGGAGCAGAUUAGUCAUGGGAAGAUAGCGUCUGCCGGACUCGAUUAAGGCUUUGGUCCAUCAACUGCAGUGCUCUGCCGCCAGCCGUGCCCACUGCCCCACGCUUCAGUCAGGAGUGGUAUCAGAUGAACUGCAGUAAAUCAUGAAGUUGAACGUGUCAGUGAUAUCACAUAAGUGUUAGUGACUACGAAUUGACAUAUUAUGACAGCUGGGAAAGCAUUUAGAAAAAAAAAAAAAGAGUUCAUAGGAGGGUUUGAGUUGAGAUGGAUCUUAAAAGGCCCCUCCCCUGCAAUGAGCAGGGGCACCUACAGCUAGAUCAGGGUGCUCAGAGCCCCUCCAGCCUGACUUGGAAUGUCUCCAGGGACACAGCAUCUGCCACCUUUCUGGGUAACCUGUUCCAGCACCUCAAUACCCUUACUAAAACAAACUUUAUAUUUAAUCAGAAUCUCUCCUCUUUUAGUUUGAAACCAUUUCCCCUUGUUCUAUCAAUUGAGAGCUGAAUGAUUUUCUAGAGAAGCUAUGGUAACAUACACAGGUUGGUCUCCAUAGCUUUCAUGAGCAAAUCAAAGUCAGAAAUGAGCUAUACUGCAGUGGGUUAUUCUGUCCAUUCGCUUAAGUGAUGCAAAAGGGUCACCUAUCAUGUAAUAACAUGCCUUUAUCUUUUCUUGCAAUAGUGAAGGUUUGCAACUGCUUUGGUGACAAUCAUGAUGAAAGAGUUGCUGGGGAUGUAUGGAGGAGGAACCAAGACUGUAUGUACAGUUUCAUUAUUAAGAAAACCACAUUGUCUACUGCCUAUCACUGGAAGUUUGAGCAGAUUCAUAUUUUUUAGUCUCAUGCUGUGUCCUAAAGAUUUGUGAAUUGUCAGAAUUUGAUCCUACAUCACGCUGAACAAUUUCUUCAGAUUCUUAAUGUUCUCAUCUUCUGUUAGAGCAGGGAAAUCUCAGCACCCACAAAAAUUCUUAGGUUUUAAGAGCAGCAUGGAUUAGUAGGAUUAGCUGAUGUAUCACCAUACAUGACAAAUGAUGGAACUUCAUACUGCAGCAAAGUAUCUUACUUGAAAUUGCUCAGCACCUGUCGAGUUGCUGUCGUACACAAAAUGGAGAACAGUUCUACGAACCCAUGGCAGCAUUAGUCAGACUCUGGCUGAGAGUGAUUACCAUCAGGUUACAAAAACUAAUGGAUGGGAGGAGCAACUACCUAUGAAGUGAGAGGUUUUAUUUUAAAUUGUGUUUAGAAGUAAUCUUUUAAAAUUCAUCACAAAAACACUUCAUUUGACUUUGUCCUUGAAGACCUAAAGGAGCAGUUGCUUUGGACAUGGAGGAAACCGCUGCUGUGGAAGGGUCUUUAGCCCAGGAUAGCUAAACAAAACAAAACAAACAAACAAACAAAAAAAGCUGUGAACAUUUACAUUUCAAAUUUCAUUUAGCCAGAAAGAAGCUUUCUCCAGAAGCUACACAGGUUCUGGAUCAGGAGAUCUCCUUACAUUUUUUUAAAAAAGUAAAACCUGCAGUAAUGUCAAGUAAAUGUUUUGUAAACAUGAACAGUUAUAUAAGGUUGCAAAUCUCAAAGCUUUCACAGUCAUAUUAAUGAAAAAUAUAUAAACCAGAUUUUUUUUUUUUAAUAGGAACAUGUAUAUUUUGAGAUGAUAAAAGUUUUUUUAAAAAAAUUGUAGGGAUUAUCUCUAAUGUGCAUUACAUUAAAUUAUACAGCUAUAGAAUUAUCACACAAGCAUUUGAGCUUGUUCUUCCUUUUUUCCUUACUGGAACAAGAGAUAAAGGCAUAAGAGCGCACAUAUUCAGACAGGUUAUAGCACUUUCACAGUAGCAAAACAUCACUGAGUACAGUAGGACUAAAUCUGUUCAUAAGAGCUUGAAAAUUUACACAUUAGCUGAGUUUCGAUGAGAAGAAAAUUAUUUCCAGUAUAACCAUUUGAUGUGAAAGAAAGGAGGGGUCCAAGGUCCAUAAAUAUUCAAGCUAAGAGUGUACAUGGAGUUCAUCUCCUGUUGAGACCAAUGAAGUGUUUUUUACAUUCUUACAGUUGCUUCAUUGUUCUAGAUGAAGUCAACCAGUAUGAGCUCUUUUGAGAAAAAAGACAGUGCUUUGUUCAUCAAGUGACAUACAAAGGCUUUACUGCUUUAUCAGUGCAUUACUUGCUAGCUUCAAUAGUAGCUAAAAUAUUAUUGAAAACUACUAAGGUGUUUCUGCCCAAAUUCGUCCACAAACACUCCUGUGAUUUGUGAACAUUUUAAAUACAUGGUAAGACCGGUGCUGCUGUGUCACACUCAAGAUUUUGGACAUGCAUGGACAAAACAAAGUUUUCCAUGAGCUGCUUUUGUGUGGAGUUAGUGAAAUAGCUACUUUUGUGUGAAAGUUAAUCAUUCAGGAUAUUGUCACAGGGAACCAGAGGCUGGCUGGAUUGUGUUAACUGAUGAACUUCAACACAGAAAGUUGGACUCUUUGUUCAUAAAUCAUUGCUCUUGACUUCUAGAUGUGAAGUUGCACGACUGUUAAUGAUAUCAGAGUACAAAGAACAAGACUAGAAGUUUGAAGCAAGUCCCAGUCUGUGAGAUUCUUCUUAUCGUCUGCUGCUACAAUGAACACAGGGCUACUGAAGGACUGACUGCCUGAUAUCUCUUGUAGUGGGAAAGGUGCUUUAGACAGGAAAUGACUGAGAUAUAAUCUUCUCUGGAAAAAUAAAUGUCUAGUUCUUGAGUGUAAAAUGGAAACUCCAUUACAUAAGCUCUCCCUUAUGGACACAAAAUUAAAGUUUAAUUGAGAAUUUCCUGUGCUCGUAACAAAAAGAUGCAACAAAACAAACAAAAAAACACCACCAAAAAAAAAAAAACCAACCAGCCUGAACAAAAUCCAGAGCCCUCGUGGCUAUAACAACUGGGGAAAAAAAAAUCACCCUGUUAAAAUUCAUGCCUUUAAGUGAAUAGAAAACAUCAUGAAAACCUAAAAUAUUUAGGAUUCAAAGAAAAAUAAAUUAUUAAACAGAAAUGUUUGUCUUCUAUGCCAAAGUCAAUUUCUGACAAUAAACUGAAUAUUCUGUGAUAAAUCAUGUUGAAUUUCAUACACAUUUCUCCUGGAAUUCAGUGAUGCUUCUGACCCAAAAAAGGAAAGGUAAACAUCUUCACUAGCAUCUUAGGUAAGUAUACAGCGCUACAGUCUAAGAAAAGAUGAAGGAGAGGGGUAUUUUCCUCUACUUGUUUACUUUGUACCACAGAGAAUGUUUAUAGAUUUUCUGUUUUAUUGUUGCUGCCAGUUACUAAUUUCCCUUUCUUAUGACUUAGUUAAUUGGAGAACAGUUGGGUUUUCUUGUUUGUUUUUAAUCUGUUUUGUUCUUAAAGAAAGGAAUAGUGCUUUUAAAACCAUAACAGAUAGCAGUAAGAAGUAGAAGAGUAAGUAUGUACAACUUUAAUUUUAUGAAAUUAAUCUAAUUUGACAGUAUUUUUUUAAGUUGAGAUGUACCAAGAUGGUCAAAUCAGUUCUGCAUUGCUACUUAUUGAUGACUGUUGUGCUAAUCUGUCACAUACAACUCAGAAAAGAUUUUGGUUUUUACUCCAUAAAGUUAAUACCGGUAUUUCUAGAGGUCUCAGUAAUGCGUAAGUAUAUCCUAUAAAAUGAGUAAUAAGUGCUGUGUUCAAAGUGAUGUUCUUUUGGUUUGUGUUUUUUUGUUUUUGUUUUGUUUUGUUUCUGACAUAGUCUUCACACUAUGCUACUCGCAGUGAAGUUCUGGAUAAUGUACGAUAUCAUGAUUUGUCUGUGUUAACAUGUAUCCUUCCAUUUACUGAAACUUCUAGCAAAGAAAAACGACACUGGACAAAGUUUAAGUAUCUUUAAAUUUACUUAGCUGGGAAGAUGAAAUUGACCCAAAUACUCUUGCCGCUUAAAUCAAGGUAUGUUGAAGUAAGUAAAGCAACUGCAGUGAUUCCUAUUGUAUUCAAUCUAGACUAUCAUUUGUGUCUCAAUCAGUGUUAUGGGAAAAUGUGUAUGCACAUAUAUACAUACACUUCUUUGGAGCUUCUUUUUAGUAAUUAUUUCUAUUUGCUUCACCUCAGUCCCAAACAAAUAAUGGAUAUGUUGUUUAUCACUUGUUAUACAGUCUGUUUUCUUUUGUUACAUGUCUCCAUUUAUUCCCCUGCCGUAUGAAUGCUAAAUGAGAUUAUGACAAGCCUCAACUAAGUUGUAAGCUUAUAUAAUUAAUAUCUGCUAUCCUUUCUAGAAGAAUUAAAGUGCACAAUGUAUUGCUCCUUCCCUCUUUGCCUUAUGCAUUUAGGUUUUAAUUCUAUCAUCUAAGGAAACCUUUUACUUCUCAGGUAAAAAUGAGGAUCAAAACAAGACCUUUUGUUUCCAUUAGAAGCACUUAAUGGUCUUCUUGUUUUCAGAAGGUCUAAUUGUUUUCAGAAUAGCUUCAUUAACUUCUGAAAGUGUUACCAAGACAGGCAUCCCCAGAGCCAGGAUGCUAAUUAGAAGGAAAACUGGCCUUAGAGUACUUGAAGAAUUGUCUUCUUUAAAAGAGCAAGAAGGCUCAUUCAAUCAUUGACAGAAUGUUUCUGCCAAGAAGUAGGAAUAACUGCCAGUUAUACAAACUCAGAGAAUACCUGUGACAAAUGACUUAUUCCCACAGUCAAAUGACUUCUUCAGACAACCAACAACAGGAAGCUCUCUGACGACUAAGUGAAUAGUGCUAAGAUGUCCAUCACUUUCAGUGCAGUCCAAGUCAUGUUGUUUAUGGCCAACUUCAUCUGUCAGCUCCAAUAUUCCUAAUUCAGUAGGUUACGCAUGUUUGGAGGGUGCUUUGAUUGCUUUCUUAGAUGCCAAAAUAGCAGUAGUAGCACAUUUGGCCUUCAUCACAUUCACACUGACUUUAUGUUGAAACUCUUGUAUGUCCAACCAGAAAAAAAAAAAACAAAAAACCAACAAACUUAUGCAGAACUAAGGAAUAAGCGCAGAUAUAAGAUAUAAACAAAAAUAAAAUAAAUGAGUGAUAACAACUUACAUUCUAACAUCUAUAGAAAAAAUACCUGAAUUAAAAAUAAGUGGUGUGGGGAAAGAAAUUACUCCAAAUUUACGUAAAAAUCACUACCAAAUGAGUCAAAUAGGAAUACUUUUAAACAAAAAUAAGCAACCACUAUUAUCAGUCAGAUCCUAGAAGUUCUAUAUUAAUGUGCAUCUCAGAUGUGUGCUGUUAAUAAACUAAAACAUUCUUUGGCUAGGACUGAGGCAAGACAGUGAGCUACACUGAGCUCUCUGUGGCCAAAACUGUCAAUUCUAAAGGAAGUUUCUGUGUUCUUGCUGUCAUUUGAGAAGUUAUGAACUAUGAUCUGGGCUUGCUACACUGCCAAUAGAAUAGGGAAAGUCACCUCAUCUCAAUAAUAAAACUGUCAGUAACAAAAGGAUAGUUCUUAGUUACUCCAGUAGUUACAGGGAAGCUGAUACUAAGGUCAAACAACAGGGCAAGACCAAUACUAGUGCCAGUGAACAUGUCAACAUUAAGCACCAUUGUUUUUCAGAGAAGUACUUUAACACUUCAAUAUUCUGUGUUUCAGAUGGUAUCUGGACACAGUAGAGGUUUGUUUAUUGAUUCUUAGAUGAAACGAGGGCUGUUAGACAUUCUGGAGGCCAACCUGACAAGACUGGACCCAGAAAAAGGACAGUGCUUCAAAGUCUGAAGGUGACAUUGAAGGAGCUCGGCAGCAGAUUCAAAAAAUCCCAACCGAUUCAAUAGGCAUUAUACGCGCUCUGUGUGUACUUUCUCCUGAGCUUGGCAACCACACAAGUGCUGGCAUUGCUACUUACUCUAAGAUUGCAGUCUGUAUCAGAUUGUGUGCUGAGGAAAAGAAUAAGCUUUUACCAUCAUGGAUGGCAUCAGUAUUCACAACUCCUGCAGUACCUAAAAAAUGAAGACCAGAUAAUGCAAAGUUUCCAAUGAAAUCAACAUGCAUUUAAGUCAGUUAAAUGACUUCAAUCUACAGAGAGGAAAAAUAAUUACAAAUAUCACUUCUCUAACACACAAGAUCACAGCACUGUAAUUGGAAAUGUUACUGGCAUGGUGCCCUUUCCCUGUGCUGACGGUAUUUCCAAGCGUGCUGCCUUAUUGUUUCUGUGCUAGAUUGAUAUUAAAGCAACUACAAUGAAAGGGAAUGACUCGAAAAUUUUCCAGUACUAGGCUUGAUGCCCAUGGCAUUUUGAAACUUUCUGCCCACCUUCUUCCACUCAGCAUAACCAAAGGCAAAAUAGAUGCAACCAAGACAAGUGUUCAUUAGUAGGAGGUUCUGUAUUUUCCUACCUUCUCCCAGAUCAAGGUGAAAAACGUGGGCUUUAUGACGUAUGCAGUGUUAGCUCUACUGUAGCAAUCAGUAAGUUGUACUAUAGGAGAAUGACACAUUUUUAUCAGCUAGCUCACUGAAAGGAAGGACUGGUUGCAAGUGAUAUUUGUACAGGGCAAUCUCUUGAGAGGUAGAUGGCUGAGAGGCAAGGUUGUCAGCAGCUGGACCCUCAAAGGUAGUUUUAUAUUAAGAAAACAUCGGAGAAUCCUGCUAGGGAACAAUGCCACCAGUGUGUGGGCAUAAAUAGAUGGAUUUUACUUACGUAAGCCCUUAAAAAUCCCUGUGUGAUUAAUAGAAGCUUAAUAAAGGGGACAGCUGCAUUUGUAAGGAAUCUGUACCCAUUAGGUGAACUCAUACUUCUUGUUCUUCCUAAGCUAAGAUAGCUCUUUCUCUCUUGAAUUGUUACCAGGCUUUUUUGCGUACUGAUCCCAGAGAGCAAGUGAUCUUUUAAAAAUCAUGUUUUACCCAGAACUACAGGAACAAAACAAUUUUUCUGAACUAGUUACUCGUCUGUAGUUGAGCCUAGUUGGGAAUGGUUACUGGAACUAACAGUGGACAGUUUAUUUCUUCCAUGGAGAACAAAAGAGCCUUUUGGAAACACUCAUUUUCAGUUUCCUUUGCUGCACCAAGCCUAGUAAGAGUAUAUUUUCGAUGCUAAAAUGUUAACGUGUUGGGCUGAUGAACAUCCCUUGGACAGUAGGAUUACACAACAAGAUCAGUAGCCCCACAAUCCCGUACUUUCCAGUUAGUUUUGAGAUAAACAUAUAGGUAUGUUCUGCCUUUUCUUUUGAUAACCUUUCCUUCCUUUUUGUAAAUAGAGGUUUUAAACUCAGAAGAGAAUAUUUUCUGCCCCUGGUACAUCUGUAUCAACUUCAUCCCCCUCAGCAAGCUGCCAACUCUGCAACUAUACACAGGCUUCCAUUAGGUGCAUACCAUUUUAUCCAGGACAGAAAGAUGGACUUAUUUUAUAAAACAGGAUGAAGUGGAGAGAGUAGAUUCAGUAGGACAACUAGUUAAUAUAAAUUACUAAGAAAUACAAUGCUAAAAAUAUCCUGUCUCCAUCAGUUUAAAUUCACACCUACUCCUAUCUGAGCAGGAGAGAGAAAACAGAAAUCUCCUUCAGCUUUCAAAACUUCAUCCAUCUCCUGAGAAUCAAAUCUUCAGCUGGCAGAUGUCAGCAGGCAGCACCAGAACCGUACUAUAUUCCUGAAGGAUCCACUCUUCAACACCAGACUGCCACAACUGGAACGUCAGAGUUACAGAUAACUCUCAGCAUUCCUUGGGGACAGUUAAAUUCCCUGGAGGCCUUGUAUGUUGCUGUCAGCCUGACUGGGUAGUAAAGCAGACCAUGACUUCAGCAGGUGAACAGAGGGUGCACAUAAUGCUUUAGUCUCUUCCUGUUCCUAUGCCUGUUACCAGCUUUGCCUUUUAUAUUCUCACAAACCAAUUGCUUUCCUGAAAUGGACAUUAGGUCCUGAUGAACCACAUCAGCAAUACACUGGCUGUUUAAUUCCUGAGGAAAGGAGAGCAUUAAGCAAACCAAACACAAAAGAUGGUACUGAGUGGACUUGGAGUGGACAGUGAACAAAGGGAAAGGAACCUAAGACAGAUGCAUUGUGUAGUUUAUACUGUUUAGGUAAAACUAACAAUAGUACACCAGGCUGGAAUGUAAAUGGUGGAAAUGUGGGUACAAAUUUCUUUUAGGCUGUUUAAGUUAAGGCUGUUACUGUGAAAAAUGAUAUAGCUUCUAAUUAGAAUGCAUGUUGAAAACUCUGCAUCAUAAAAAUGGAAAAUAGAAUCUGAACAUGCUGCGUAUCAUGAAUCCGACUGAACAGGACUCGGGGAGGAAAUUACAAGUGUGUUUUAGCAGUCACUGCAGAUUAUCUCAUGGGUUCUUUAUAUAUACAUGUUUUUGUGGUGUCAAGCUGCAGGAGCUUAGGAGUUCUGUAGAGCUUGUUGCAAGUGCUGUAGCUCAGUAGAUGUCUGAGACUUUUCAACAAGACUGAAGAUCCCAUCCCCGGCCAUGGUGAGUUACUGUAGACCAUACUAUAUGACCAUACCAUAGACCAGCACCAUAUGGGUGCUGAGACCACAACUCUGAAAAAGUUGUGCAGACAUGCUCAACGCUGCAUGCUGCGAGUUGGCCCAGAAAAAAACAAGAAGGCUUUUAUAGGAAUCUGGAGACUUUUGCAAAAGACUAGCCCCAGAUGUGGACAAAGUAGGACGCAGUCUAGAACAGCGGAGUGACUGUGGUCCAACAGACUACUUUGUCUGUAGUAAACCAGAUUGGCUCCUACUACUGCUGUUGUCACCAUGGUACAGACAGGAUGUCUGGUGUGAUGUAUGUUCACUGCUGGGAUUGAGGGUCCUCUCCAGCAGUGCUGUAUCUGGCAAUAUGCUAUCUGCCUUCAGAAGUCCUGGAGUUGACCACUACUUCACUGUAUGGUCUCCAGCCUGUCUCCUCAUUCCUUUCCCUUGGCAACAGCAUCCCCAUCCUGAGUCCCUCAGCUUUGAGGCAGAAACAUUGCAUUUAGCAUGUGUUGAGAUUGUUGAGCUGGCUAUGCUUUGUAGGAGUGAGUCUUGUUUAUACCAGAAAUUCACACUGAUUAUAUGCAACUGUCAUGUUCAGUUCCUUGGUAAGUUUUGUCAAACAAACAAACAAAGAUACCUUGUAAAGAGAAUUGGAAUGGGGUAAGGCAACCAAAUCCAGGACAAUGCAGUAGCAAAAUAUGGGUGGAAAUCAGAUGUGCAUGCACCAUUUAUCAUAAUUGGAGAUUAUUUGAUGGUAUCACUACACUUGUACACUUUCAUGCCUUUAAAAAAAAAUCUAAGAAAAAUUGUGCUAAGUUAUUUUACCAACAAAUAGUACCUAAAGGUAUUACUCUUAGAUAGUUAUGAACAAGAGAGAAGUGAUGUCGUACAGUGCUAUUCAUAUACCACACAACUAAACUCACCAGCUUUCUAAGAGGAACAAUCAAAACAACAUUCUCUCCCCUACCCAGAGCAGACAGAUCCAUAAAUUCUAUAAACCUCACAUUUCCACAAAAUACCGGUCUCAUUGUGUUCGAAAUCGUUAGACUUGGUGAAUGAGUGAUGCAGAACCUCCUUACAGAAUUGCAGUAUUACACUAAAAAUGCAGUUGAGGUACAUCUCAUCAGGCUCUGAAUCUCUCCACUGAUUUUUGGCAGGAAUCUGCUCCAUUGCCUUAUACUUACUAGAUCCUUUGUUCGAAAGGAGAACUAAACAGUCGAAAUUGAUUAUCACAUAAUUGUUUCAAAGGAAACCAAAAGAUGCAGUAGUUAAGAAGAAGUAAUUAGAUAGAGUCUACUACUUUUUGAAAACAUUGCUCUGGGGAAUAAGUUCUGAAGUAGUAAUUCAUGUGAAAUACAUAGCUAGUGUUCUGUUCAGAGGGGGAGAAAAGAAAAGCAACCUGAGUUCUGCACUUCUAAUAGCUAUAAGAGUCUCUUCUAAAUUUGUGAUCUUUUCAUAUGUUUCUGGAUUCCCCUGUUCUGUUAAAGCAGAAAUUCACAGAUGCAAGUGGAAAUAUCUUGACAGUAGGAGGGAGUAAAAGGUAACCAGCAUGAAGAACAGCUGUGAAACACAGGCAAGACAUUGGUUUCACUGUUUUUUUUUUUUUUCAUUUUUCCCUUAAAUGAUUUGUGUUGGUGAGGUUUGCAUUCUGAAAGCUUUUGCUCCCUGUUAAUGCAGAUUCUCAUCUGGGAUUAUAUACAUUUAAAUCCUCGUACUGUUGUAAGCAAUGAACAUUAGCAACCUUUAUUUACACUGCUGUUCUAUAAAAAGCAGAGGGAAUGCCCAAAAGAGGAUAUUUUCCUUUGGCACAAGGACACAACCUGAUUAGAACAUUAUAUAAUAUUAAUACUCAUUUGGCAUAUUUUUUGAGGCAGAUCUAGAAAUUCAACACCUGUGAUGGUGGUGGCAACUGCAUGCUGGAAAAAAUGAAAUCGUCUGUCUGAGAACUUUUUAAUGAGUUGUUCAGAACUAAUUGGUAAAUGUAGCUGAGAAGGAGCACAUGGGAGGGAAAGAAGAGUGGCUGCCAACACUGCAAGAGUCCCUGUUCCUUCCUUUGCAGUCAUGACAGUAAGGGAAUGUUGCGGACAUAAGUAGAGAUAGGAUGGAGGAGGACCAGGAAUACUGACAGAUAACCCCAACCUCAGCCAGAGGCCAAGUACCCAAGCUUCAUGCAAGCGCUCAGAAAAGGAAUUGGGCACUGAAGAAGCAGCCAACUCAAAACAAUUCUGUGAUGGAGCUUAUGCCAGGAACCAAGGCCAGCCUCCAUGUUGGCAGGGCAGUGAAUCCACUGACCCAAGUGCAGUGCCCUGUAACUUGGCAACAUGAGCAAAGACAGAUUCAGUGACAAUCCUAGAUAAGGCACAGUGAAGAACCAGCUUGACAGUCCAGCCAGGCAGUCUAGUCAGGAGCAGAGAGCGCUGCAGCUUGAGGCUGCAAUACAAACCUGUUUGAGCCAAAGUCUGAAGCAAGCACAGAUACAACAUUCGCAUAAUUCAGAGCAAAAGUAGGUUCCCAGACCUGAGCUUGAAUAGCUCUGGAACAUGGGAGAGAGUGGGCAGGGUCCCAGAUGAGGCAGGUUUGGGCAAUUAAGACCUGUUAACGUACCCAGGACUCUAAGGAGAAAAAAGAAAAUGGUUCUUAGUUUCUGUUGUGUUAUAUGUCUUUCUGCUUGCUGAGAAGCAGUAAUAUGAAGUAUGUGUUUUUGGUUCAUCAGAACAAUAACUGCUGCCUCAGCAGCAGUCGUUCCAAAGAGAACAGAGAGAACUCUGUAGAUUAAAAAAGAAAGAAAGAAAAAAGAAGGAAAAAAAAAAAGAAAAACACCACCACUACCAAGUCAAUAGGCAUUACAAAAUUAAGAGCAGAGGAAUGAAUUAGACUUACAGAGAAUGAAUGAGGCUUACAGAUGGGGUAAAUUCCCCAUCUAUGAGUGGUGAAUUCCCAGGUAAAGAAGGUUUGCACAGGAAAUGUUAAUAGUACAUGAGGGGCAAAAAGUGGGGGAGAGGAGUGUGGCAAGGAGAAAAGUUUGCAGCAUGGUGAAGAAGAAGUCUGAGGUGGAAAAUGGAGCAAGAGACCCAUGCAAAAACAAAACAUAACACACGCACACCUCCCCCUCCCCCCCAAAACAAACAAACAAACAAAAACACAAAGGAUGGAGGAAAAAGACACUUUGCUGUUUGGCUGAAGGAAGUCAUUAAACUGAAAUCUGGGAGAAGAUCGUAGAGGUGAAGGAGGGAAGACUGAAACUAUCUUCUGAAUGACAGCCCAUAGACUAUCUAGUGUUCUGAAUGAGUCAACAAAUCUCUUUCCAUUUGUGGAACCCUCAAAAUACCUCUAGUUACAUUUGUAACCUCUCCUGUGGAAAUGCAUUUCACUUUCUGUACCACUCAAGAGCCUCACAACUAGAAACGAUGAUUAUUGAGACCAACUGUCCCAUCAGUAACCAACUUGAAUAGAAUGACCAAUGAAUGUGACAACAGGCAGUGGAACGUUAAUGAGUUAAAUAAUGAUAAUCCUAUAGAUGAUAAGUGGGAAUGACAAAACAACCAUGUUGGCUCUUGCUCACUCUAAGCUUGUGCAUCAAAGAAGUAUAGUCAGUUUCAUAGCAAAGCAAAAGCUGAGAUAAAAGGGCUGAGGCUGUCUGUGAUCUGAUCUUUACCAUAAAAAGGGGAGGAUGUUUUAUGAACUAUCACUCUGAGUACAAAUAAAUGUAGAAUUUAAGAAAGAACUGAUGUAUUUGAUUUAUAAAUAAAGUGUAGAGAACAAUCCCUGAUGUGUAAGAAUUCUUUACAGCCUGCAAGGACUCCUGUCCACUUUUACAACCCAAUACAGAUCAUGUUGCAAAGUAAAUUAUUACAUGUUACCUUCUGUAGCAGAUGCAUUAACAUCCAAACAGAUUGUAAAGAGAUUAUAAAAUGGUUAGUACACUUGUUGCAUAGCAGAGCUCUUCAGAGGUGACUGUUUAUCCUGGUUUCCUGUUAAUUUGGCAAGAACUGAAGUUCUAGUCUUUAUCACAGACCAAGCCAUGUCAAACAGGAUGAUCUGAUGAACACUGACCAAUGAGACUAAUGAUAUCUGAUUAUGGGAAGUGUUCCCGCCACGUUGACACUCCCAGUUCUUCACACAAUAGACACUGAGAAUGUUCUCAGCUGCUUUUGGCCCUCCCUGUAAACUGUUGAAGACUCCACCAGAAUUCAAAUAAAAAUGUCUUUAUCA